UACCAGAUUUUGAUAUAAAAAUAAAAAUAAAUAAAAAUAGUGUGAGAAACUAUUUUUAUUGGAUUUGUAGGAGUAAAACAUAAGUCAGAAGUGACUUGUGCUGAAAUCGGAUUGAAAACAGAAGAUCUAGAAUUUUCUGUUGGAAAUGGGACAGAUAAAUUAGCAGAAAAUGCACAGUCUCAGAAAAUUAUGAAAAUUGGAGGAUAGGUCAGAAAUAUUUUUAUGAGGCUAGAUUUAAAGUUUUAUAUUUUUCUGACACCCGUAGAGUGAGAAAUAAAAUCCGACACCUAUCUGAUAAAGAUUACAGUUCGGUACAGUUUUCAGUGACCAAACGGGGUCGAAACUGAACCAGCGAUCGUCAGCUUGUUAAGUUAAGUAAAACCGAACAUGACUGUCAAGNGAUACUCCUAGAUGUCUUUUAUUAUUGCUUUUAUUAUGGUUGUUUUUAGACGCCUCAUAUGUUGUAGACAUAUGGCGGGUCUGGGCACGCGCCGGGCAGGCUUCCGCU
rnacentral:lncRNA from 1 species